UUGUGAAGAUUAGUCAUUGUUGUGGGAAAUUCCUACAAUUUGAACCAGUCACAAAUCAAAGAACUUUCUUGGGUUAGUUGAAGUGGCACAGAUGGGAAUCAAACAUGGAGUACCUUAGACAAGAUUGUACAAGUGGGCCAGGAGAUCAAUCAACUUCAACAACAAUACUAUAUGAUGAACAAUUCUGAUGGACCUGGCCAUCCUCAGCAAUGAGAUGAACCAAAUCAGUUCCAAUGGAGAACUGAACCAGCUAUCCCCAGUGAAAGAAUUCUGGGGGAUGACUAAGAAACAUUACAUUGAAUUCCCACUCCCUAUAUUUUUGCACACCUGCAUUUUUGAGUUCCUUCACAGGCUAAUUGUACAAUAUUUCAGAGUCCGAUUCUUUUUGUACAGCAAAAUAAAAGUUUGGUCAUGUAUACUUAUUGUGUAUCUAAUUUAUAUUUUAAUAUAUUUAACAUCUACUGGUCAUCCUGUCAUCUGAGGAAGGGAGUGGGGGGAAGGAGGGGAAAAAUUGGAACAAGAGGUUUGGCAAUUGUCAGUGCUGUAAAGUUACCCAUACAUAUAACCUAUAAAUAAAAGGCUAUUAAAAAAAAAAAAAAGAAUUAUUUG